AUGAACGCUGGCCGCGUGCCUCAUCCAUGCAAGUCGAGCGAACAGACGAGGAGCUUGCUCCUCUGACGUUAGCGGCGGACGGGUGAGUAACACGUGGAUAACCUACCUAUAAGACUGGGAUAACUUCGGGAAACCGGAGCUAAUACCGGAUAAUAUAUUGAACCGCAUGGUUCAAUAGUGAAAGACGGUUUUGCUGUCACUUAUAGAUGGAUCCGCGCCGCAUUAGCUAGUUGGUAAGGUAACGGCUUACCAAGGCAACGAUGCGUAGCCGACCUGAGAGGGUGAUCGGCCACACUGGAACUGAGACACGGUCCAGACUCCUACGGGAGGCAGCAGUAGGGAAUCUUCCGCAAUGGGCGAAAGCCUGACGGAGCAACGCCGCGUGAGUGAUGAAGGUCUUCGGAUCGUAAAACUCUGUUAUUAGGGAAGAACAAAUGUGUAAGUAACUAUGCACGUCUUGACGGUACCUAAUCAGAAAGCCACGGCUAACUACGUG
rnacentral:rRNA from 1 species